rnacentral:rRNA from 1 species
CUACGGGUCGCACCAGUGAGGAAUAUUGCACAAUGGGGGGAACCCUGAUGCAGCAACGCCGCGUGGAGGAUGACGCAUUUCGGUGUGUAAACUCCUUUUAUAUGUCAAGAAAAUGACGGUAGCAUAUGAAUAAGCACCGGCUAACUCCGUGCCAGCAGCCGCGGUAAUACGGGGGGUGCAAGGCGUUACUCGGAAUCACUGGGCGUAAAGGACGCGUAGGCGGGUUGGAAAGUCAGGUGUGAAAUCCUACAGCUUAACUGUAGAACUGCACUUGAAACUUCUAAUCUAGAGUAUGGGAGGGGGAGAUGGAAUUAGUGGUGUAGGGGUAAAAUCCGUAGAUAUCACUAGGAAUACCUAAAGCGAAGGCGAUCUCCUGGAACAUUACUGACGCUAAGGCGUGAAAGCGUGGGGAGCAAACAGGAUUAGAUACCCUGGUAGUC